AUGCACCCCCUGCACAUCUGUAGGCCUAGGCAUCUGUUUGAUGACUGUCACUUUUCCUGGGUCCACUUUCAACCCCUCUGAUGUUAGCAGGUGGCCAAUGUAGGGCACUUCCUUCAGCCUGAGCUGCAGCUUCUCCGGAUUCAGCUUGAUAUUGAGCUUCCUGCAUCUGUCCAGGAGCAUUUUCAGGUUUUUGUCAUGGUCCAGAGUCGCCGCUUCAUCAUUGUCUCCUUCUCCCACAAUCAGGAUGCCAUCUGCAAUGAUUUGGCCUCCUGGAAGACCUUCCAUUGCCUGGUUUAACUUCCUCUGAAAGGUCUCUGGGGCUGGACUGAUUCCCAUUGGCAUGCGCAGCCACCUGUAGCGUCCCAUGGGAGUAGAGAACGUGGUGAGAUAGCUGGAUUCCUCCUCCAGUUCCACAUGCCAAAAUCCGUUUUUUACAUCACAGAGAACACGCGUGCUCUGUUCAGAUCUGGCAGCACGUCUUCAAUAGUGGGAUGUGGGUAAUGGCUCCUCUUGAGCACCUUGUUGAGAGGUUUCGGAUCAAUGCAGACUCUUACUUUUCCAGACGGUUUCUUCACUACGAUCAGGCUGCUAAUCCAAUCUGUGCUUUUUUCAACUGCUUUUAUCAUCCUUCUUUUCUCUAGACCACCGAGCUCCUCUGAGUGGUUUAUGUAGUGCUACUGGCACUCUUCUCUUUGGCAGCUGGACGGCUCCAGUCGCUCAUCCACUUCGAGCUUCAGUUUGCUGUGUAAGCAUCCAUCUCCCUGGAAUACAUCAGAGUACUCCUGUUUAAUUUGCUCUUUAGUCCAGGAUCAUGUUGUUUUCUCGAUGGCCAGGAUGUUGUGAUGUUACACAGUAAUCAACACCAUUGUCUGGAUAGCUGUGCAUCCUAGAAUGGACCUGUGGAUAUUCUUGUGGACUUCGAUGAACUCAACUCGGUAGGUUUUCUUAUUGCGUGGAUUGAUCACUUUAAGUGUGCACUUCCCCAGUGGCGUCAUAGUACUCUUGUUAUACAUCACCAAUACGUGACUGCAGGGCUCUAGGUGACUGGCUUUUAUGAGGUUUGCAGGGAUAACAUUACAACUAGCACAGCAAUCUAGCUGAAAUCUGACUGACUUUUUUGCUGAUCAGCAUGGUUGCAAAGAGAGCUGCAUUGGGGUCUGUGGUUUUCUCCUGCACCACGUUGAUGCUCUCUGACUUUGGCCCUAGUGUGAUGCAGAGAACAUCCUCACUGCUCUCUGAGUCAGCUGACACAUUUUCCAUUGCCAGGACUCUGUUUCUCUUCCUGGUCCCUGCACUUUUGCAAACCGUAGAGAAGUGAAUGCUUUUUCCACAGGAUUUACAUUUUUGUCCAUAUGCAGGGCAUUUUUCAUUUUUUUCUCUCAUGUGUCCGUCCACAGUAUCUGCAUUGUAUAAUGCUCUGUCCCUCAGUAGGGUCUCCUCUCCCUUUUGGUCUCUCUUCCUGUGUUAUUGCAUGCACUGCUACAGGGCCCUGCACAUUUAUGACAGUCCUGCAGCUCCUCCAAUCUGUAUGCAUUUCUCUAAACUAAGAUCAGUCUCUCUGAGCAAGCGCUCUCUUAGGCCACACACAAUCCUGUCCCUGAUAAGAGAGUCUGUGAUUACUCCAAAGUCGCAGGUGGCCACUAGAGUCCUCACUUCAUUGAGAUAUUUGUCUAAACUCUCAUCUUGGCCCUGACUUCGCAUUAAAAAAUUAUCUCUCAAUUGUUUCAUUUUUCUUGGGAUCACAAAAUGCAUCCAGUGCUGCAAUUACUUCUUCAACAAAGAGAUUGUCUUUUGUACUGCCCACACAUAGGGUCUCACAAAUCUCUCUGCCUUUUUCCCCAAUGAGAUAAUAGAGUAGCUUCACUUUGUAGUCAUCACGUUUUUCUCUCAUUGUAAGAGCCAUGUACAAAUUCAAUUCCUCUUUCCAUCUUUUCCAGGUCAGUGCUAAAUUACAAUCAUCAAAGUCUAUUUUUCCCGUAGGUUUCAGUGCAUUUUCCAUGGCGAUUUAGUUGUAGAAUGGAACGUUAGCUACUCACGAAUCUGCUUGUAUCCAAUAGCCAGCUAGCUUUUAGCACAGAGUCACUCACGAUAGCCAGUUAACGUAGACGUUCGGCGCGAUGACUAGCCUGUAAACGCGGCACUUUUUCAAACUGUCGCCUGGGAUGUAUUCUUCAUUUACAUCGAUGAGAUACAGGUUCUUUUGAGUACCGCUGCCACCAUGUUUCAAUAUGCUUUGUGUUGUAGUCAUGACAGACAAAGAUAUAUAGUUAAGCAAACUUUACUAGGCAUGUUGUCGACCAGCACAUUAAUAAAGUAAGUAACAACCGGUUUCCGUUUCCUGUGUAACAUCAAUAUGAGUAACAUCAAUAUUGCUACAUCUGUAAUAGAAUACAAGUGUUAAAAAAACAAAUAUAGACAUUAAUAAAUGCAUUUCUGUCGCUUCCAAAAUAUUUUUUACAAUGGUGGGUGAGUGCCAAGAUGGAGGCACAGUGGCUUCAACACAACAAGCCUAUCAGUCCUCUAGUGUAUAUAUAAAUCGUUGGGUGAAACAUCUGGUUCAUUGUUCUAUCCGUGUUGUUAAUGCACAGAUUAUCCACUAUAUAGUCUACCACAGUAAGAGUCAUAAUAGUCAUAAUACCCAUAAAACCUAUCGUUCAAACAUGUAAACGGUUUCAAUAAUUUUUCCACCAUUCUUUUUCCCAUAGGGGAUUUUAGAACCACUUCACAUGUAUGUCAUCUAGGCUUACCCUGGCGUGAUGUUUUGCUAAUCGUGUAAAUCUCUCUCGGACAAGGUCACUUAUCAAUAUCAUACAGAACUACACAUCCUGUCGCAAGCUUUGGCAUCAUCACUCAAGCCAGCGUUUCAGAGUAGGAAAAACAUCCACAUUUCUCCAUGUAAAUUCAUAUCGACAAGUAGCAAGUAACCUAGCAAGUAAAGUAAAAUAGAAUAAGUAGUAGAUAUUAAAGCUUUUUUGUAGUUUCUCAAUUAUAUAAUUGACAUUGUGUAUUUAUCGUGUGUAUUGUUGUUCAGCAUUUUUCAAAUUACCUACCUUAGCAUUUUUUUAUUACUAGUGUAACAGUGUAGGUUCCGUCCCUCUCUUCGCCCCAACCCGGGCUCGAACCAGGGACCCUUGCACACAUCAACAACUGACACCCCACGAAGCAUCGUUACUCAUCGCGCCACAAAAGCUGCGGCCCCCUGAUUGAAACGCUAUUAGCGCGCACCACCGCUAACUAACUAGCCAUUUCACAUCGGUUACACUAGGAUUUGUUUAAUUACCCUGGCCUAUAAAGCUAGCUAGCUAACCUUAGGUAUCUCUGUCGAUCAGAAGCAAGGAUGAUUCUGUGCUAUGUACCGGAUUUUAUCCACUACUCUGAUAAGCACACAUGCAUUUUAUCGUUUUCCAACCUCUGUAAGCGAGAAGCGUCGCUGGAGCCGUGUGAUAUGCCCAACAGGAGAGCAUCCCUCAAGCCAUCUGGUAAGUUGACUGAGAACACAUGAGGCGUGACACACGGAACAUCUUCAGGCUCCCUCCAUGAGAAGCAUUGCAUGAUGUUCAAAGCCACCCCCGGCAAGGAUAUCUGUUGGAAAUGAUGGCUCUCCCAUCUUUAGAUGUACUCUAUACAACUCUGUGUCCUAUCCAUCCAGCUCUACUUACUUCUUAUUAGGAGUUCAAUGAAAACAUUGAACUUCCAGGUGUAGCAUGGUUCAUUCUGAGUUGUGUACUUUUAAUGAGGACACUGCCACAACUGGAAGUCUGCUGGUUGGAUUAUUUUAAUGAGGACACUGCCACAACUGGAGGUCUGCUGGUUGGAUUAUUUUAAUGAGGACACUGCCACAACUGGAGGUCUGCUGGUUGGAUUAUUUUAAUGAGGACACUGCCACAACUGGAGGUCUGCUGGUUGGAUUCUUUUAAUGAGGACACUGCCACAACUGGAGGUCUGUUGGUUGGAUUCUUUUAAUGAGGACACUGCCACAACUGGAGGUCUGUUGGUUGGAUUAUUUUUAUUUGCCCUGCACACGAAGAAACAACACACAAUAUUUUAGCCCUUGGCGCAGUCACAGCUCUCAGGCACCUGCGCAAGCACAUGGACACUCACUCAAACACUGUCCCAAGUACUCACAAGUUACAAUAGGUACCCUAGUUAGCGAGCUCGGUGAAACUUGUUACCAUAAAUCUUUAUAUUUUCCACAUUGUAACAAACGUAUGGUAGCGUAACAGCACAUUGUGUAACAUUACCACGGUUUUAUAUUGAACAAUAGCGGAGCCAAGGACAACAUACCUCGCUAAGCCGAAGGUCAGGCAAAAGAGAACAAUAAGGAGGUACGGAAAUACAGAUAACCCUCGAUGGGCCAAACCAAAAUAUACAAAACUUUUACAAUCACUUGUAUGUACAAUAUUGAUAUGAAAAACUGUUUGUACACCAAAAAAUAACAUUAGCUAUGCAGCUGUAAUUAAAUAUAAAAAAACACACAGAAUUAUUUUUAUUAUUAUCAAAUGAUUAACAUCCCCUCUUGACCUGGCCUAUUUGAAUUGGUCCUUGUGUGCAACUUGGUGCAUAAUCUAGGGGAACAACAUCACACUGCUACACAGGCACCUCCACCAUGGCACAGUUCCAGAAUGUUCUCACUGAGGUGCAUCUUGUGGGCUCAAUGUUUUUCCCAUACAAACCACAGAAACGGUUUUGUUCCACGAAUGCAUCUGUUGUACAUGACUAAUCAAAUUACCUGUGACGUCAGUUAGACACGUCAGUCCCUUUCAGAUGAUUCCUCAACCACUGUUGCUCCUCCUUGGUGAUUUUACGGCUCAGAGUGUUUUAACUUUGCUCUUGAGAAUUUUUAUCAUAAGUACAGUCGUAUAGCUCAUUGCAAGACUUCACCUCUUUUGGACAAAUAGUACCCUUGACUGUCCUGAUCAUCUAGUUAAGCAUUCCAGAUAAAUCCUCCAUCCCAGCAGGAAUGUCCCAUCCACAUAAUGAUAUAUGAUUUUCCAGCUCAGCAUUCUUAGGUGUUAUUCUGUGUUCUAUGAAAAUGGAGUGAGUCAACUCAUUGUCCAGUGAGUGAGGCUUGCCUACAUAGUGCUUAGUUAGUAGCCUAGUUGUGGUUCACUUCCACUAGAAGGUCCUUGUUAUUCCCACCAGGUGUUUCUUCAGGCUGUUGGGGAUUGCCUCAACAUUUUUCCCACACAAACCACAAAAACAGUUUUGCUCCACUGAGUGCAUCUGUUGAACAGGAUUUUUUCACCUGACUUUGAAAAUACAAAUGGGAAGGAUCAUACAAAUCAAGACUAUGAAUGCAUUUAGCUCUAUGACAGUGGUUCCCAACCAGAGGUACUAGGAUCCCUGAAGGUACUUGGCCUAUCCACAGGGGGUACUUAAGAAGACUCAUGAGGCCAUAGCCCUACUGGUAAAAUGCAUAUGAGGGGGUACCCUGGGCAGAGCAGAAUUCAGUUGGUCGUACAGUACAGUAACCGAAAAAGGUUGGGAACUACUGCUCUAUGACAGAGCACUCCUAAAAAGUAAAUACUGUGUAUUGGUAGAUUUGUCUCUGGAUGUCUAAAUAAUAAAUUCAAACAUUUCUGAAUGUGAA
rnacentral:lncRNA from 1 species